rnacentral:piRNA from 1 species
UGAGCUGUGAGAUGGGCACCCAGAGAGU